rnacentral:rRNA from 1 species
AGAGUUUGAUCCUGGCUCAGAUUAAACGCUGGCGGCAUGCGUAACACAUGCAAGUCGAACGGUACUUAACUGGAGACGGUUAAGUAGAGUGGCGGACGGGUGAGUAAAGCGUAGGAAUCUGUCUUAUUGAGUGGGAUAAUCACGGGAAACUUUGACUAAUACCGCAUAAGCUCGGGAGAGGAAAGCAGGGGCCUAGAGAUAGCCUUGCGCGAUAAGGUGAGCCUACGUCAGAUUAGCUAGUUGGUAGGGUAAAGGCCUACCAAGGCGAUGAUCUGUAGCUGGUCUGAGAGGACGGACAGCCACACUGGGACUGAGACACGGCCCAGACUCCUACGGGAGGCAGCAGUGGGGAAUCUUGGACAAUGGGGGGAACCCUGAUCCAGCGAUGCCGCGUGUGUGAAGAAGGCCUGCGGGUUGUAAAGCACUUUCAGUGAGGAAGAGAAGCGUGGAUUGAAUAGGUUCACGUGGAGACGUUACUGACAGAAGAAGCACCGGCUAACUCUGUGCCAGCAGCCGCGGUAAGACAGAGGGUGCAAGCGUUAAUCGGAGUGACUGGGCGUAAAGGGCGCGUAGGUGGUUUUAGGAGGUCUGGUGUAAAAAGCCUGAGCUUAACUUGGGUGGGUCACUGGAGACGGUAAGACUAGAGUCUGGGAGAGGGAAGUGGAAUUUCCGGUGUAGCGGUGAAAUGCGUAGAGAUCGGAAAGAACACUCGUGGCGAAGGCGGCUUUCUGGCCCAAGACUGACACUGAGGCGCGAAGGCGUGGGUAGCGAACAGGAUUAGAUACCCCCGUAGUCC